rnacentral:tRNA from 1 species
AACCGUGAACAGUGAAAUUUUCCGUAUUUCCGAAGAAAUACCCUUCGCCAUCACUUCCAACGACUAAAGAAUAUGAAGUAUACAUGAUACAUCUUCCAGAAAUCAUAAAUGUGAGGCAUGUGGAAAAUCAUGAAUGAUAAAGUCACAAGAAAAGAACAAAAAGAUAAUGAAAUGAUAAAAUAUUGUGAAAAUUACCUUCAAUCUAAUUAACUUUAAUCCUGUUACCCUCAUGUAAAAGGUAAAAAAAAGUGAAAGCAUUAAUAGCGUUUUCUUUUAGCUGGAACAACUCACCAAGAUCGGACAUUCUCGACUGCCAUUACACUGAAUCUGUUCCAUUUUCAAGAGGAGAAACAUGAACAAACAUUGCGUUAAAAACCUUUUCUUUUCCAAACUGAUCGCAAUGAAUAACGGACUCAGACGCGGCAACAUAUCAACGGUAUUAGACUAUUUAAUUUUAAAUUCUAUUACAUCCUCUUCCUCUUGCCUUAUCUCGUUGUCCACUAAAUGAAUUUAAAAACUUCAAAAGAUAGGGUAAAUGAAACACGACUUAAGAAACCCAUUAAAUAAAUACCAUUAUUAAAUAACACUUUUUUUUCCAAGAAAAAAAUUCCAAAGCCAUUCGUCUUCCGUAAACCACAGUGCCGACCCCUCCACCGUGAAGUGUCAAAGCAUCCGUAAAAAUAUCACACUGCUCAUGGAACUAAAUAAAGACAAAUAAAAAAAAAAGACUCGUCCGUCGAGCCGGAGUUGAACCAGCGACCUAUGGAUACCUCUUUUACGUAAGUGUAACACCUUUCUCUUUUAUUGUUACUCGUUUCUACAGUCCACCGCUCUACCAACUGAGCUAUCGACGGAUGAAAUCAUUCGCGAAUUCAUUGAUCAUAACCAGGUGAAAGAUUAUUAAAUAUUUCCUUGUUUUGCAGGUCAAUUUAACAGGAUGAGUUCGUAGCCUUUUAACAACGGAUGAAAAUCGUGCUCUAUCAAAUGGCCGUGCGAACGCAUUAGGCUACGUGAUACUGAAUAUGUUUUUUACGACUUGCUUCAUUCUGGAGCUGAAAUGCGAUCUCCGUCAGGUAAAUAUGAGAAUUUUCUUUCUAAUUGCACGUUCACGAUCUGUAAACUUUUUAUUAAAUUUUCCUUUUCUCGUUGUUUAAGAAAUUUUAUACCUGUAUCGCCAUAUUUUCUCUCGUCCACAUGUUUGACACCUUAGUCAAGCCAUUUUUCCUGCAGGACUGACUUUUUCAUCACGUCACCUGUAAAAUGAACAUCACGUUUCUAAGCUCACCUGUCGAUUUCCUACUGGUCGAUUCAUUUAUAAUUGCAAUAUAAUUUUCUCGGUAGACCAGCGAACCGGCAGUGAGUUCACAACCAUUUGCAGUCCAGUGCUCCAGUUGGAAAGAAAUCACAGGUAUUUCAAUUGCCACAAUUCUAAUCACGAAUUUCUCCGUUAACCAUCGUCAUUUGAAAAACGCCAACCAGUUCGAUCACGUCGAUAAACUUGGAAAAAAUAUCAAAAAUGCUGCUGUUUACUUACGUGGUCGUUUGUCUUGCCAUCAUCAGCCCAAUUUUUUCUGCUGAAGUUGGAACUCCAUCAACUGUACCUCCAACGCGGGAUAUGUCUAAAGUUAAACAUUACGGAAUGUGUGGCCGACCGAUUUUUCCUAAUACGGAACUGUGCUCAUUGAAUGGAACAAAAACAGUUACGCUUUGGGCAUUCGAUAGCCAGGCUCUGAAAUGUGUAACGUUUCAAAAUUGCGGACGCUUUCCUCAUUCUUUGAAUUUUUUCCCUUCAGACGUGGCUUGCAAAAUAAUAUGUGAGCCUACGAGAUUGGCGCUGACACUCAAACCUUAAACUGAAACUAGAUGGACAAGCAUCACCAUGGACUGUCUUGUACUGCUAAAUGGACUAUAUGUCUUCUAGAAAAAGCUCCCCAAUUACGAGGAUUGACGUUUAAAAUUUACAGCCAGGAAUGUAGAAUUUAAAAAUUUUGAAUAGUUACUGACUUGGGGCACUUUACUGGAAAGCGUAUUGGAGUUAAUAAACUACUUUGCUAUCUUGCAAAUAGCUAUUCCUUCUGCCUACACAGUCUACUAGUGAUGAGAAAUAUCAAAUCGUAAUUUUCUCCUGAAAUCAAUUAAUAAUCGGAAAAUUUCAAACGAGAAAGUUAACUGGUGAAAAUAGUACUAUGCAUUACCUACUUGUGCAUAUUGUACUCAUUUCAGACGUUAAAAACGUUCAAACCAAAUUACCUUAAAAAGCUGAUGGGAAAUAAAAACGAUGAUAGAUGUUACUUACGCAUUAUGAAAUCUUCGGAUUAACCACUGCUUAAAUGUAAAGUUCUUGCGAUGAACAUUCUCGUAGAAUGCAGACAAGGUGGAAAUACAUCCCAUUUUAGCUGUAACGAGAUUUUCAACAAUACGAAUUUCAGAUCUGCCAUUACACGUCAGAACACGUCAACAUCUGCCCAGCAGACUAAACAUUGCCCGAUCGAAACUAUUCCGAUAAGGUUUUCCACAGCAUGAUGAUAUCAACAAAUCCUUGAGUAAACUGAUUCUACAAAAUAGAUAUUUAUCAAAGAUUUUACAAAAUCAGUGCCUCUAAUUUUUCUUCGGUUGUGACUGUUUCCCACAUUACUAUUCAACUCGUACUGAUGUACACGGCCUAAAAGGGAACUUAGUUUCACCUUGUUUCUGAAGGAAGGACUUGCAAAGACGGAUUUAAAUAAAAAUCUCUCCCUUCCCCUGCACGCCUGCACGACUGCACGUGUCCUAAAUAUUUUUGUGGACGUCACAGGGGUAAGGAAAUAGAAACGUGGCGUAAGUAACCACUCCUCCUAAAUGUACCUUGAAUUUUGCGUUUUAAAAUCCGCCUUUCUUGCGAAUUAUUCUGGCGCCCUUUCAAACAAAGAAACACAAUAGCUUUCAAGAUAACGCUAAAGGACAAGGCUGUAGCCUAACAUGAGUAACAUCACCUAGUGGCAUUUCCUUUUUCGAUAGAUAAAACACAAUGCAGACUCCCUCCGGCGUGAGAUGGCAAUGCAUCCGAAAAUAACCUUAGGGUCCUCAUGGCAUCGCUGACAAGGUGAGCAAAAAAAAAAAAUAAAAAAAAAAAUGGCUAUUCCGUCGAGCCGGAGUUGAACCAGCGACCUAUGGAUAUCUUUUUCAUGAAACAAAAUGCUAAAAGCAAUGCACACAAAAAAUAAUACCUGACCGAAAAAAAUUUUCCGUCGAGCCGGAGUUGAACCAGCGACCUAUGGAUAUCUCCCACAAGCACACCUGCUUGCUUUGUUUGUUUAAUUCUACAGUCCACCGCUCUACCAACUGAGCUAUCGACGGAUGUCAACUUGCCCACAUAUGAAGCUACACAUCAAGCAUAUGAGAAGCCAUGAACUUAAACAACAUUUUUAACGCAAUGGCACAAAUGAAUAAAAAUGAAAGCGUGUUA